CGAAGGUAGCAUAAUCAGUAGUCUUUUAAUUGAAGGCUCGUAUGAAUGGUUGGAUGAAAUAUAAACUGUUUCAUAAAAAUUUAUAAUAGAAUUUUAUUUUUUAGUUAAAAAGCUAAAAUAAAUUUAAAAGACGAGAAGACCCUAUAAAUCUUUAUAUUUUUGUUAUUUUAAUUAUAAGGAUUAAUUUAAUUACUAUGACUAAAAGUAUUUUAUUGGGGUGAUAUUAAAAUUUAAUAAACUUUUAAUUUAUUUUAUACAUUGAUUUAUGAUUUUAUGAUCCAUUAUUAGUGAUUAAAAAUUUAAGUUACUUUAGGGAUAACAGCGUAAUUUUUUUGGAGAGUUCAUAUUGAUAAAAAAGAUUGCGACCUCGAUGUUGGAUUAA
rnacentral:rRNA from 1 species